CUCACAUGAACCUCGCCUGCAACCUCUCCCUGCUCCCUUGGCCUGUCCACUCCUCUGCCUGAGUCACGACAGCAACCGGCCACAUGAACGCGGAGCUUCACGAGGGGCUGAGCGCUCCCUUGCGCGCCAGGACAUUUGCUCCUCCUAAGGACCUUCGAGAUAAGUUAUUGUUAGCUCCACCCAGCAGAAGCGCGAACUCGGGCCCAGGGAAGUCGUGGGGCCUGCCUGAGAUUGUGCAAGCGGUGAGCAGCAGGACCUGACUGGAAGUCUUGGGUUCUUACCGCGGGAUCCUUUCUGUCAGCGUCCCAGAGACACUGGGGCCGGGGGGAGUUGGCUGGAAGGGACGGACUUGGUUGGCUUCCAGCUGGGCCUCUUGUGGUGGCCUCGGGAGCAGGGGGAGCUGCUUUGGCGUCACCGCUCAACCUGAACCCUGUUGGGCGGCUCCUUGCGCGUGCAAAGAAAGGACCCUCUCCUCGGCCCUCAGACUUCCCACGUGACCUACGACAGGCAUUCAGACUCUUCUGGGCCUUUGCGUUCUGGAGCAGAAGGCUAUGGGAACCCAAACCUGGACUCAGGAAGGCAGAAGUGAGAGAGCAUAACUCGUUCAAAUCCACAUGUGUGAAUUGGGCGCCAGCCGCCGUGCACCCAGCAGGGACCAGAGCCUUUCUCUGCCUUGCCAGGUCUCAAGUGUAAAGGUGGGGACUGACAGAGGCAUCAGCCCGAGCUGGCCUCCUUACCAGAAGAACCCCAGCUUGGAUAUCUCACCUGCCUGGUUUGAAUCCUGGCUCUGCCACUUACCUGCUGUGUGUCUUUGGAUGACUUACUUAACUUCUCUGGGCCUCGAUUUCCCCAUUUGUAAAACUAGGAUAACUGUGCAGAUGGAUUAA
rnacentral:lncRNA from 1 species